AGCGAACGCUGGCGGCAGGCUUAACACAUGCAAGUCGAACGGGCAUAGCAAUAUGUCAGUGGCAGACGGGUGAGUAACGCGUGGGAACAUACCUCUUGGUUCGGAACAACACAGGGAAACUUGUGCUAAUACCGGAUAAGCCCUUACGGGGAAAGAUUUAUCGCCGAGAGAUUGGCCCGCGUCUGAUUAGCUAGUUGGUAGGGUAAUGGCCUACCAAGGCGACGAUCAGAGCUGGUCUGAGAGGAUGAUCAGCCACAUUGGGACUGAGACACGGCCCAAACUCCUACGGGAGGCAGCAGUGGGGAAUAUUGGACAAUGGGCGCAAGCCUGAUCCAGCCAUGCCGCGUGAGUGAUGAAGGCCCUAGGGUUGUAAAGCUCUUUUGUA
rnacentral:rRNA from 1 species